rnacentral:rRNA from 1 species
AACGCGAAGAACCUUACCUACUCUUGACAUCCACGGAACUUGCCAGAGAUGGCUUGGUGCCUUCGGGAACCGUGAGACAGGUGCUGCAUGGCUGUCGUCAGCUCGUGUUGUGAAAUGUUGGGUUAAGUCCCGCAACGAGCGCAACCCUUAUCCUUUGUUGCCAGCGAUUCGGUCGGGAACUCAAAGGAGGCUGCCGGUGAUAAACCGGAGGAAGGUGGGGAUGACGUCAAGUCAUCAUGGCCCUUACGAGUAGGGCUGCACACGUGCUACAAUGGCAUAUACAAAGAGAAGCAAACUCGCGAGAGCCAGCGGACCUCAUAAAGUAUGUCGUAGUCCGGAUUGGAGUCUGCAACUCGACUCCAUGAAGUCGGAAUCGCUAGUAAUCGUAGAUCAGAAUGCUACGGUGAAUACGUUCCCGGGUCUUGUACACACCG